CUUGGCGAUGGCGCAUGCUCAGAGGCAGGGCUCGGAGUUUUUUUGGUUGUUGUUGUUUUUUGUUUUAUGAUUUUUUUUUUCUUUGCCCGUGGAGUCCUAGGCUCCGGAUUUUAGCAGACACUCAAAGGAGAUUGGGAAAAGGAGCCCGGCUAACUGUAGCCCCUGCACCUGGAUGGGCGUGAGUUUCAGUCCGGCCUCUGGCCACCUCCUGUCACUGUAAGAUGAAGAAAACUGCAGAAACCUCGGAAGAAAGCUUCCAGCAGGGACUGUGGAGCCAAGGCUUACAUUGAACUUGCAGCCAUCCGGAUAUCGAGACUGUAGGAUGAGCUACCAUAGCAUCUUGCCAAAUUAUAUUCUUUGCAGAAGAUUCUAGAACUUCUAAUUUCUUUCUGAAUUAAAAUCAACAAACAAGACCAGACCUGGGAUAGCUUGCCUCCCCAAGGAACACUCUGAGAAGAGAAAGAAGGAACUGAAGGGACUGAGAAUGUGGAGGAGUACUGUGAAAUGCUGUCUUCUGGAUGUGACAUGGUUGGUGUAACCCUAAACACACAACAACUGUAGUUAAAUGCAUGAGACCUGCACAAGACCUGUCAACAUUCCAUCAUGGACGAAAAUAACCAUGGGCCAUUCGCUGGAACAUGGUUGACUUACCAGAGUCUGCACCCUUGAAGAAAACAGACUUUUUCUCCUAGAAGCCACAGCUAUCAACAACUCGUGAGUUCACACCCAUGAUUGAGGAACUCUAUGAAAAAUGAUGCCUGGCUUGAUCUUUUUCAGGUCUUAUUCAGGAAACCACAGUUGCUGUGAAUUUAUGAGUGAAAAGGAGGUGAAUAUAAUCAAAAUACAGUGCAUGAAAUUCUCAAAGAAUGACUACAAAUAUAUUAUUUUUAACCACAGAAAAAAGCUACAAGAUUUCCCACCUCCACUUUAGCAUGUCAACUGAUACUGCCAUUGCUCAGAUCUUGUUUAUGCAGCCACUAUAGUUUAAAAUUGUAUAAAAUAAAAUAAAUGAAUAGUUUUAAAUCAGGAGAAAA